rnacentral:lncRNA from 1 species
UCGACACGGGUACUAUUCAAAACAGCAAUCUGAGUUAGUUGAGACUGGAUCAAGUUUUCUGCUUCCAUGGACCAGGUUCCGGAUAGAUACUCUCCGAUGAUGCGGGAGGCAUUUCUGGAAUCAUUAAAUCUGACAGAGGUUAUACAUAAAUGUGCACGUUGAUCAACACAACCCAAAUGUACUAGGUCAGACAAUUCCUCAACUUGAGCUUGAAGCAGAUCUAUCCUUUGAUUAGCAGCCAAAAUCCCAGAUAGAAUGUGUUGAUUAAUUCUACUUUGAGAUUCAAGUAUGGUGGAUGUUUGUUGAAUAACCUGAUUAAUAGUGGCAGCAGUUUGAACCUGGCUGGCCAUGGCUACUCCAGCUGUAACUGCUGCAGCAGCAGACACUGCCACAGCUGUCACUAUAGCUGCCGUAAUUCCAAAAUCUCUACGGGCUCUAAUCAGUUCAACAAUAGGAAAUGACUCUGGAUCCGCAGUAACCGGGAUCGGGACAAAAGUUGGAAUUUUCAUAACCACUGCCAUAGUCCAGGAGCCAUUCCAACACUCAGACAAGUAACAGGUAGUAUUAGAACAAUUAAGCAUCCCCUGUGAUGUAACAUUAGCCAAAAGGAACAGAAACGGAGAUUGGAGACAGACUGCUGCAGAGGGUAACGUUGCAUUACCUAAUAGUGCAUUGUGUGAAAUAGAUUUGAGUCUCCUAUCCCACCCCGAGUCUUGGGUACUGCCAGAAACAUUAAACAGCCAACUUUGGACUCCUCGUAAUUGAGCCAAAGCGGAGAUGUCGGCUGUGGCCCCCUUUUCAUUGGAAAUCAACCAUUGAAACCAGGACCAACCCGCUCCUAUAGAGGAAUUAUUGUUGGAAGAAUUAUACAAGUACCUUUUGAGAGAGGGGGAAAGGGAAAAACCUUUGGCGACCUGAUGUUUCUCCCAAGAGUGAUCUUGACAAGGUGUAAAUAUAGGAGGGAAGCCAUACUCAGGGGUGCAAUAAGGAGAAGCCUUAAAAUGAGUGGCAUUAGAGGUCUCAUUAGAAGGAGACAACGGAAUUAACACCUGGGAAGUAAUGGCCAAAGUGGUUAUAUUUAACUCAGAUGUAUUUGUCGGGACUCUUCUUGUCAGGCGUUCUGGAACCCACACCGGCUCCGUCCGGUCCCGGCCCCCGGCGGCGCUCCGCUUUCUCCGCAGCGUGAGCCCGCUCCGCAGCAGUGCAGGCAGGUCCUUCAGCCGCGGCCGCAGCGACGCCGGCGGCUGCUCGCGCUCCGGCUCGCGGGCGCUGGGACUGCGGCGCAGAGCGCUGUCCGCCGCCGCCACCGCCGCGGCCAGGGCCGGGUUCUCGCACGGCGGCUGCAUCUUGACUGAGCCCACCGCCAUCCUCAUGCCCAGACCGCGGCCGCGGCCCCGGCAGCUUCUCUCAAAAACAUCUGCAAAGUGCUCUGCUUUACCUUAAGUCCUUUUGAACGUAGCAACCCAUCUAGGGCCAACAAAAUUGGGCUUGAAGAAGCAACGCCCAUAAUGUUUUUAGAGCUAUAAAGAAAGUGAAAGUACAAAAAUCCCCGCUCUCUUCCUUUUACAGG